AGAGUUUGAUCCAUGGCUCAGAUUGAACGCUGGCGGUAUGCUUAAGACAUGCAAGUCGAACGGAAUCUUCGGAUUCAGUGGCGGACGGGUGAGUAACACGUGGGAAUCUACUGAGUAGUGGGGGACAGCCCGGCGAAAGCCGGAUUAAUACCGCAUACGCCCUACGGGGGAAAGGCGCAAGCCGCUAUUCAAUGAGCCCGCGUAAGAUUAGCUAGUUGGUAAGGUAAAGGCUUACCAAGGCGACGAUCUUUAGCUGGUCUGAGAGGAUGGCCAGCCACAUCGGGACUGAGACACGGCCCGGACUCCUACGGGAGGCAGCAGUCGGGAAUAUUGGACAAUGGGCGCAAGCCUGAUCCAGCAAUACCGCGUGUGUGAAGAAGGCCUGCGGGUUGUAAAGCAC
rnacentral:rRNA from 1 species